GAACGCUAGCUACAGGCUUACACAUGCAAGUCGAGGGAAACGACAUCGAAAGCUUGCUUUUGAUGGGCGUCGACCGGCGCACGGGUGAGUUAACGCGUAUCCAACCUGCCCAUCACUUGGGAUAACCUUGCGAAAGUAAGACUAAUACCCAAUGACGUCUCUAGAAGACAUCUGAAAGAGAUUAAAGAUUUAUCGGUGAUGGAUGGGGAUGCGUCUGAUUAGCUUGUUGGCGGGUAACGGCCCACCAAGGCGACGAUCAGUAGGGGUUCUGAGAGGAAGGUCCCCCACAUUGGAACUGAGACACGGUCCAAACUCCUACGGGAGGCAGCAGUGAGGAAUAUUGGUCAAUGGACGAGAGUCUGAACCAGCCAAGUAGCGUGCAGGAUGACGGCCCUAUGGGUUGUAAACUGCUUUUAUAAGGGAAUAAAGUGAGUCUCGUGAGACUUUUUGCAUGUACCUUAUGAAUAAGGACCGGCUAAUUCCGUG
rnacentral:rRNA from 1 species